rnacentral:rRNA from 2 species
CCUUAUUCUUACGGGAGGCAGCAGUGGGGAAUAUUGCCCAAGGGGCGCAACCCUGAUGCAGGGACGCGGCGUGAGGGAUGACGCCUUUCGGGUGGUAAACUUCUUUCAGUAGGGAGGAAGCCUCUUUUGGGGGUGACGGUACUUGCAGAAGAAGCGCCGGCUAACUACGUGCCAGCAGCCGCGGUAAUACGUAGGGCGCAAGCGUUAUCCGGAAUUAUUGGGCGUAAAGAGCUCGUAGGCGGUUUGUCGCGUCUGCUGUGAAAGACCGGGGCUCAACUCCGGUUCUGCAGUGGGUACGGGCAGACUAGAGUGCAGUAGGGGAGACUGGAAUUCCUGGUGUAGCGGUGAAAUGCGCAGAUAUCAGGAGGAACACCGAUGGCGAAGGCAGGUCUCUGGGCUGUAACUGACGCUGAGGAGCGAAAGCAUGGGGAGCGAACAGGAUUAGAUACCCUGGUAGUCCAUGCCGUAAACGUUGGGCACUAGGUGUGGGGGACAUUCCACGUUUUCCGCGCCGUAGCUAACGCAUUAAGUGCCCCGCCUGGGGAGUACGGCCGCAAGGCUAAAACUCAAAGGAAUUGACGGGGGCCCGCACAAGCGGCGGAGCAUGCGGAUUAAUUCGAUGCAACGCGAAGAACCUUACCAAGGCUUGACAUGGACCGGAAAGACCCUGAAAUCAGUGGCCCCGU